rnacentral:rRNA from 1 species
GAGUUUGAUCAUGGCUCAGAUUGAACGCUGGCGGCAGGCCUAACACAUGCAAGUCGAACGGUAACAGGAAACAGCUUGCUGUUUCGCUGACGAGUGGCGGACGGGUGAGUAAUGUCUGGGAAACUGCCUGAUGGAGGGGGAUAACUACUGGAAACGGUAGCUAAUACCGCAUAACGUCGCAAGACCAAAGAGGGGGACCUUCGGGCCUCUUGCCAUCAGAUGUGCCCAGAUGGGAUUAGCUAGUAGGUGGGGUAACGGCUCACCUAGGCGACGAUCCCUAGCUGGUCUGAGAGGAUGACCAGCCACACUGGAACUGAGACACGGUCCAGACUCCUACGGGAGGCAGCAGUGGGGAAUAUUGCACAAUGGGCGCAAGCCUGAUGCAGCCAUGCCGCGUGUAUGAAGAAGGCCUUCGGGUUGUAAAGUACUUUCAGCGGGGAGGAAGGGAGUAAAGUUAAUACCUUUGCUCAUUGACGUUACCCGCAGAAGAAGCACCGGCUAACUCCGUGCCAGCAGCCGCGGUAAUACGGAGGGUGCAAGCGUUAAUCGGAAUUACUGGGCGUAAAGCGCACGCAGGCGGUUGUUAAGUCAGAUGUGAAAUCCCCGGGCUCAACCUGGGAACUGCAUCUGAUACUGGCAAGCUUGAGUCUCGUAGAGGGGGGUAGAAUUCCAGGUGUAGCGGUGAAAUGCGUAGAGAUCUGGAGGAAUACCGGUGGCGAAGGCGGCCCCCUGGACGAAGACUGACGCUCAGGUGCGAAAGCGUGGGGAGCAAACAGGAUUAGAUACCCUGGUAGUCCACGCCGUAAACGAUGUCGACUUGGAGGUUGUGCCCUUGAGGCGUGGCUUCCGGAGCUAACGCGUUAAGUCGACCGCCUGGGGAGUACGGCCGCAAGGUUAAAACUCAAAUGAAUUGACGGGGGCCCGCACAAGCGGUGGAGCAUGUGGUUUAAUUCGAUGCAACGCGAAGAACCUUACCUGUUCUUGACAUCCACGGAAGUUUUCAGAGAUGAGAAUGUGCCUUCGGGAACCGUGAGACAGGUGCUGCAUGGCUGUCGUCAGCUCGUGUUGUGAAAUGUUGGGUUAAGUCCCGCAACGAGCGCAACCCUUAUCCUUUGUUGCCAGCGGUCCGGCCGGGAACUCAAAGGAGACUGCCAGUGAUAAACUGGAGGAAGGUGGGGAUGACGUCAAGUCAUCAUGGCCCUUACGACCAGGGCUACACACGUGCUACAAUGGCGCAUACAAAGAGAAGCGACCUCGCGAGAGCAAGCGGACCUCAUAAAGUGCGUCGUAGUCCGGAUUGGAGUCUGCAACUCGACUCCAUGAAGUCGGAAUCGCUAGUAAUCGUGGAUCAGAAUGCCACGGUGAAUACGUUCCCGGGCCUUGUACACACCGCCCGUCACACCAUGGGAGUGGGUUGCAAAAGAAGUAGGUAGCUUAACCUUCGGGAGGGCGCUUACCACUUUGUGAUUCAUGACUGGGGUGAAGUCGUAACAAGGUAACCGUAGGGGAACCUGCGGUUG